CCAGAGUGCCAUAGGCUCUCCAACCCAUUGUGAACAUACCUAUCGUUCCCUCGGCGGGCUCAGCGCGCGGGGCCUCCGGGCUCCCGGGCGUCCGCCGGGGACAACCAAACCCUGAUUUACUACGUGUAUCUCUGAGGGGCGAAAGCCCGAAAACAAAAUAAAUCA
rnacentral:misc_RNA from 1 species